CAUUAUCUUGAAUAUUAUUAUAGAUAAAGAUAAACUGUAAACAGCAAAAAUGAUCAGCAAAGUAAGAUCUACAAAUAAGUUAAUAUGACCAAAAUUGUCAAUUGACCCCUUAAGGGGUUAUUGUCCUUUAAUGACAAUUUUUCACAAUUUGUUCAUCAUAUUUGCUAACUUUCAAAAAUCUUCUCCUCUAAAACUACUCAACCAAAUUCAACCAAACUUCAAAUGAAUGAUCAGUAGGGUGUAUAAAAUAAAGUUUGUGUUUUAUUUUCUAUUUCGUCAAAAUCAUGGCCGUCAUGGCUAAAAAUAGAACACAGGGUAAAAUGCAGUUUUUGGCUUAUAUCUCAAAAACUCCAGCAUUUAGAGCAAAUAAGACAAGAAGUUAAAGUAUUUAUUAGGUCAAGGUCUACCUGUCCUGAAAUUUUCAGCCGAAUUGGGUAACUGGUUUUUCAGGUAUAAUGCCCCUG
rnacentral:lncRNA from 1 species